ACCGGUGGCCAAAGCAGUGGGGUCACACCCGUUCCCAUCCCGAACACGGCAGUUAAGCCCACCAGCAGCGAUGGUACUUGGACCCAACCCGGUCCUGGGAGAGUAGCCCGUCGCCGGAC
rnacentral:rRNA from 1 species